CGGGGGAGAGGCCGCCGCGCAGGGCUGCGGGGCUGCGGGCGCCCCUUCCUCCCGCACCGCCCCGGCCCUGCGUCUGGAGAGCCGUCUGCCGGCCGCGCGGCCCCCGGCCCCCAGGCCGCGGCGCCCGGCUCCCGGCGGGCUCGGGGGAACGCGGGGCUGCGGACGCCGCGGAGCCGUCUGCGCCGACGGCCGUGCGCCCUGGGCCCCCUGUCCGCGCUCCCCCUGCCCAGCCAGUUCUUCGGCGUGAUUCGUUUUCUGUUUCUGGGCACCUUGGGAAUGCCUCUGUGGAAUCAGGCGCUGUUUUUAAAGGACAGGAAGAGGGGAGGGAGGAGAGGAAAGGGAAUCCCCUGUAAAGCCUGCCGUUGACCUUGGCGUGUCCCCGUACGGGCCUCGCCACCCUUCUAACCUCUACGCCCCACAAGCCGACGCUCUCCGAGACCAUCUGCUUCCCUUUCCCUUAACGUUAUGUGAUCUGUACCUCUGUUUUCGGUUCCAGCCCAAUGUGCACCUUCUUUGUGAAGGGUUUUUCAGAGCUCUGUGAUCCCUCUUUUCAAAACCACUAGAACAUACUGCCUGAAACCCAAGCCCGGCCAUACAGUGCCUGCGUUCGUGGCUUGUGUAUCUGUCCAGUUUCGCCCUUUCACUCUUGGAUUGUUCCCUGAAAUUCGGUUUGUCUGCCCAACUAGACUGUGGGCAGUUUGAGGGCAGGACUUCAUCUCCGACGUUUAAACCUCCUUAACACACUUGUGCCAAUAGGAGUUCAGUAAGCAUCUGUCAGCCAAUUCGUUUUAAAGCUUGUGGCCUCAGGCGCCUCGAUGUUUGUCUCCAAAGUUGGAACUUGCUUUAAUUUAGACAAUGCCUUUAUGCAGCAAAUAUCUUUUUUAUGUAAUAAAUGGAAAUUGACAUCUCAAAACUAUCUCCCAUUCAACCGUGCAUGCUCCAAAGGGUUUUUCAGGCACACACCAAUGGAGUUUCAGAAAAAGCCCUGAAGGUUCCAAACCAUGUGCUAACUUGUGAAAAUAAGGACAAACAACUCCCCUCCCCUUGUCCCGGAGUGGUAGAAGGAAUCAAAGAAAGGCUGCAUGGCGGUCCUGUAAUUCAGAGCUCCUCAAAAUCUUGUAAAGGAAGCUGGAAUUUCAAGAAAAGAAUCAAGUUUUUUUUUUUCACUGCAGAAGGGUUAUGAUUGGCUCCCACAUCUUUGAAGGCAUGGAUUCAAAUAAAUCUGUUAUCUCAAUACUCA